rnacentral:lncRNA from 1 species
UGGGGGGGGCCCUGAGGUGGCCGGUCGUGCCCGCGUGGCCUCGGGCAGUGGAGGCUGGCACCCGGAGGCUGUCGCGAAGAGGGUCAGGGCUGCAGGCCGGGAAGAGGCUCUCCCCUGACUGGACGUCGGAGUCACCUGGAUGGCUUCUAAAUGCAGAUGCCCCGCCCCACCCCUCAGAGUCACCGUCGAGGAGUGGAGUUUGCUCAAGACCAAAACAGCAUCAGAGGAGGAAUUAAAAACGUUUCCCAGGACCAGUGAGACAGCUCAGCAGUGUUUGUCUGAAGCCUGUUUGAUGGAGACAGGAAACCCCUCAGAGGCAAAGGGAGUGUGGGCUUUGGAAGGAGGCCUGAAAGUGGACGGUUUGUUUGAGAGACACAAUGCAAACUUGAGGUCCGACAGGGGCUGCCUGUUGUGUGCUGAGCCUUAGCAGGUGAGUGGGUGAUGUAGCAGCGGUAGUUACUUGCCAGACACUAAACUUCAUAAAGGUGUUUAAUUCCUCAGCACAGUGAUCAUGGGACUCAAGCAAUUAGUGCUUGUCCUCAUGGGUCUAAGUCACUGCACAUGGAUGGGUGGGCAAGGAAGGGAGACCUGCUUCUGCUCACUUCCCUUUGCCUGUUGGUCUGUGAUCACCUGGACCCUUGCAUCUCCCAGAGGCCAAACCAUAUUCAUUAUAGAUGUCCUUUAUUUGCUGCUGGCCACUGCAGAUGAAGACCUUUGUUGGGUUGGCAUGAGAUUUCCUGGGUUCUGGUGAUACUCUGAAGAGGAGUUGGUGAGCUUCACUCCUGUCUGCAAGGGUGAAGCCAUUAGUGGGAAUUUCAGAGGAUUCAUAGCCAGGAGUUUGAAUUGUGGGUCGACGGGAAGUUAUAGAAUAUGCAGACCCAUCCACUCUUAGCUCCACUUUGUGGAGUGCACAUGGGGCAGUAUUACAUGUGUUGUGUGUGGUGCGUGCCUGAGUGAAAGUGUGCACAUGCAUGCAGAGGCUGUAGGAGGACCUCAGGUGUGCUCCUAUCCUAUGCCCUCCUAUCUCACUAUCCUGUUCUCUCAAGAUCGGUCUUUUACUCAGAUCAAAACUCACCAUUUUUUUGCUAGACUGGCUGGACAUCAAACCCUUUAUCAGUGACCCCUGCCUCUACCCCGGAAUUAAAAACACAUGUGGUCACACCCAGCUUUGUUCUUGGAUACCAAGGAUCUGACCUCAAGGCUUCAUGUUUGUACAGCAAGCAUUCUCACUAAACUUUUUAAUCCUCAG